rnacentral:tRNA from 1 species
GGGCGAGUGGCGGAAUUGGCAGACGCGCAGGCUUCAGGUGCCUGUGAGCUCAGGCUCGUGGGGGUUCAAGUCCCCCCUCGCCCA